rnacentral:rRNA from 1 species
AAGUGGUACGCGAGCUGGGUUUAGAACGUCGUGAGACAGUUCGGUCCCUAUCUGCCGUGGGCGUUGGAAGAUUGAGAGGGGUUGCUCCUAGUACGAGAGGACCGGAGUGAACGCACCACUGGUGUUCGGGUUGUCAUGCCAAUGGCAUUGCCCGGUAGCUAAGUGCGGAAAAGAUAAGCGCUGAAAGCAUCUAAGCGCGAAACUUGCCUCAAGAUGAGUCUUCCCUGGGCCUUUAAGGCCCCUGAAGGAACGUUUAAGACUAAGACGUUGAUAGGCUGGGUGUGUAAGUGCAGCGAUGCAUUGAGCUAACCAGUACUAAUGAUCCGUGAGGCUUAACCUUACAACACCGAAGGUGUUU